rnacentral:rRNA from 1 species
CCUACGGGUGGCAGCAGUGGGGAAUAUUGCACAAUGGGGGAAACCCUGAUGCAGCGACGCCGCGUGAGUGAAGAAGUAUUUCGGUAUGUAAAGCUCUAUCAGCAGGGAAGAAAAUGACGGUACCUGAUUAAGAAGCCCCGGCUAACUACGUGCCAGCAGCCGCGGUAAUACGUAGGGGGCAAGCGUUAUCCGGAUUUACUGGGUGUAAAGGGAGCGUAGACGGCAGCACAAGUCUGGAGUGAAAUGCCGGGGCUUAACCCCGGAACUGCUUUGGAAACUGUGCAGCUAGAGUGCAGGAGAGGAAAGGGGAAUUCCUGGGGUAGGGGGGAAAGGAG